AUACGGAGGAUCCGAGCGUUAUCCGGAUUUAUUGGGUUUAAAGGGAGCGUAGGUGGACAGUUAAGUCAGUUGUGAAAGUUUGCGGCUCAACCGUAAAAUUGCAGUUGAUACUGGUUGUCUUGAGUACAGUAGAGGUGGGCGGAAUUCGUGGUGUAGCGGGGAAAUGCUUAGAUAUCACGAAGAACUACGAUUGCAAAGGCUGCUCACUGGACUGCAACUGACACUGAUGCUCGAAAGUGUGGGUGUCAAACAGGAUUAGAUGCCCUGCUAGUCCACACAGUAAACGAUGAAUACUCGCUGUUUGCGAUAUACAGUAAGCGGCCAAGCGAAAGCAUUAAGUAUUCCACCUGGGGACUACGCCGUCAACGGUGAGGCUGAAAGGAAUUGACGGGG
rnacentral:rRNA from 1 species